UAUUGGUCAAUGGUCGGGGGACUGAACCAGCCAAGCCGCGUGAGGGAGGAAGGUACAGAGUAUCGUAAACCUCUUUUGUCAGGGAACAAAGGCGGGGACGUGUCCCCGGAUGAGUGUACCUGAAGAAAAAGCAUCGGCUAACUCCGUGACAGCAGCCGCGGUAAUACGGAGGAUGCGAGAGUUAUCCGGAUUUAUUGGGUUUAAAGGGUGGGCAGGCGGUCUGUUAAGUAAGAGGUAAAAGCCCGGGGCUCAACCCCGGCCCGCCGUUGAAACUGGCAGUCUCGAGUUGGAGAGAAGUAUGCGGAAUGCGCGGUGUAGCGGUGAAAUGCAUAGAUAUCGCGCAGAACUCCGAUUGCGAAGGCAGCAUGCCGGCUCCACACUGACGCUGAGGCACGAAAGCGUGGGUAUCGAACAGG
rnacentral:rRNA from 1 species